rnacentral:lncRNA from 1 species
UUGAUCAGAGCUAACAAAUUUGGGUGGCAAGACACUUAUGUAUUCACGAAGGCAAUGGGAGAGAUGAUGAUAGACAGUAUGAGAGGUGAUAUUCCUGUAGUAAUUAUUCGACCAAGUGUCAUUGAGAGCACCUACAAGGAACCAUUUCCUGGAUGGAUGGAAGGGAGCAGGUGAAUAUUCUACUUAAAACUCAAAUCACAAAAAAGACUUGCAAUAAUUCACCUUAAAAACUAAUGUUACUUUCAUAUGCAGGAUGAUGGAUCCAAUCAUCUUGUACUAUGGUAAAGGACAGCUCACAGGAUUUCUUGUAGACCCUAAUGGAGUUCUUGAUGUGGCAAGUUCUUAAAAUAAAUAUCCAGUAUGAACAUUAACAUAUAUAAAGGGUAUAGUAGUGUGUAUUUAUUUGUGUCUCUCAUGUACGUAGGUUCCAGCUGACAUGGUUGUGAACGCAACCUUGGCAGCCAUGGCAAAACAUGGUACAGAAGGAAAACCAGGAAGUAGUAAUGUUUACCAGGUUGCUUCAUCUGCUGUAAAUCCAUUAGUCUUCAAGGACCUGGCCAGAAUGCUAUUUGAUCACUUCAACCGUUCACCCUACAUCGACUCCAAAGGAAGACCAAU